AUUUAUUAAUUUAUUUAUGUAGGCCUAUCUAUUUAUUAAUUUAUUUAUGUAGACCUAUCUAUUUAUUAAUUUAUUUAUGUAGGCCUAUCUAUUUAUUAAUUUAUUUAUGUAGACCUAUCUAUUUAUUAAUUUAUUUUUACUUCAAGUUUGUUUAGAAUCUUCAUUUGCACUUUAAUUUACUUUUUUUUUGCAAGCCUUCGUCGUGAAUAUGCCAAAGCAUUUGACACUUUCUAAAUAUCCUCUUAUUUUAUUUGCCACUUUAUAAACCUAUUGCAUGCAACAAAAAAACUAAAAAACGAUAAUAUUGAAAUCUAUGCCAAUUCAAUGAAGCUUUGGAUUUUUGCCAAAAUCUAGAUAGCAUCCAGCGGCAAUAUUUCUUGGGAGUCUUAUCAUAAAAAACUAUAGAGCAAUAAUGCAUGGUAUUAGUAACGCGUAAUAAUAAUGACAUCAUCUUUCUAUCCAGUACUCUUAGUAGUCAUACACAUUGAAUAUCAGGGAAAAGCCCGUGAGUGUGGUAUUUAAUGGAUAAACCCAUGGGGUGGGAUAGGGAGUGGGUCCUUUUGUAAAUGGUUACGCAACUGCCUGACACGUCUUAGAACGUCGACUUCUGGUGCUAAUGGAAUAGUUCCAGAACAAUCCAGAACAUCUCACCACCAAGUCUGUGGAAUGAACGCCCGAGGCCCAAACGUAGGCGGAGCUGCCCCGUAUCACAUCUCUCACAGGUGGGCAAGCUUAGGGGUCACUUCUGAGAUCCCUUGCACUGCACCAGAGCUCAAAAUGAUCAACACAAUAAGAUGACCUUAUUCUAGCCAUGAUAAAGUCCAUUCAUCGUAUUAAAGCACUUCCUUAUACUACGGACGUUUCAACUUUUUAAAGAUAGUAGCACAAGUAUAGAUUCAGGUAGAAAGGCCUUGUAUUAGCUAUAGGCUAACCGCUGUUUUUGUACAAUGCUGAUCAAAGGAACAUAACUGUUUAUUACAAGAUGCCUUGUACAUAACCCUUUGAUGAAUCUAAUAUUUCUACAAACUGUAAAGAAUCGAACUAAUCUUAUUUCUGGAGUUAUUUUCCCUGGGAUUUUUAUGCCUAGCAUUUGAACUAUUUAAAAGCACAAUGGAAGCAGACAUUUUUGUCUCACUUCAUAAUAAAGAAUGAAUAAAGACCUAACACAAUA
ensembl:lncRNA